rfam:Frankia asymbiotica strain NRRL B-16386 contig_75, whole genome shotgun sequence.
GUCGGGUUCGGGAUGAAGCGGUUGACCUGCCCGCCCAUGAGUAACUGCGUGCGCCGGCCCGUCUGGACGACCUGGACCCCGCGCUGCGCGAACUUCUU